CCCGCAAGGAUGGACUGUGCCGACCUCCUCCACCCAAAGAAAAGGAUGCUGAGGAGAGCCCUGGGAUAGCCAGCAGAUCAGGUGCUGUCUUCUUUCUUGCUUCUCAUGAUCCAUUGUACAUUUAAAGAUCCUGAGAUGUUCCUUUUGGUUGUUGGCGGCUUUACACAUUGUGCCUUUUCUUUUCUUUGCUGAAAUGUUUACACAUUGUGGCACUGUGCUUUUGUUCCCUGCAGCAGACAAACAUUAAUCUUUGAUUCCCUGUUACCUACGAGUUUCACAGCAUAUUCUGUUCCCAUUUUUCUUUUUGACGCAUUUACAUAGACUUUCUCCAUAUUUAUUGCCCCACGACAAGAACAUGGACCAGAACAACAAACAGGAUGCUGAAAAUGUCAGCCCCAGCCUUGCCAUGCAGCACCAGGAGCCUACCUCUGACUCUAAGAAACCAGUACGAUGCCUGCAUUUACACCUUUAGUAUGAGACAAUACCACCUGCUCACUUUAUUUCUUCUUCUUUUCUUUCUUGCUGAAACUGCAUGUACAACUUCUUAACCUGUUUCUUGCGCAGUUUAAAGAUUUUAAUGUGUUUCUCCCUAUUCCAGGAUAGCACCAUAAAACCUCUUGGUCUCCAGCUCAGCGUCAAGAUCGAGUAUCAAGGUCCUACUUUCAGGCCAGCCAAGAAAUAGGUGAUACCCUUCAUGCAAGACUUGAUUUUCCCCCUUGCCAUUUCUUUUGCUGCCCACAGCUCAAUUUCGAUUGCAUUUGUUCAGAGCCCCACGCUGAACAUAGAGAAUGUUGUCACUCCACCAUCACCAUCUCUCCAGUCAAGACUGCAAGUUGAGCAAGUCAAAUAUGAAAUCAUUGAGAAGCCGCCUGCCAUUGCUGUGGAGAACAAAGUAUCAGCCUAUGUUCCUCGGCGUCUAAUCCUCAAAGAAGUCAUGGAACAAUUAAAUCUCAAGGUGCAUGGUACUGGAAUGCUUCUUUUUGUUUUUGACCAGUACAUGGCGUGGAUGUCCAUCAAUCUGCCACGGCAUGGUGAGGCUGGGAAAGAUGGCGACACAAUCAUAUACAGUGAUCCUGCUCUAAAUACUACGAUGCAGAAGAGAAUGUGGCUGAAUCAGUGCUUGAGUACUACCAGAGCAACAGAAAGAUUGAGAUCAAUGACUUCAAUCAGAAUGUGUUAAAAAAGAAGCAGUAUGAACUCGAUGUCAGUAACUUCUGCCAGGCAUUUGAGGAGAAGAUAGAUGAGAUGAGAGCCUAUCCUAGAACCUACAGCAAGAUGAGCACUGAGCAGUUCUACUCUGAGGCUUUUCAGGACAGCAUGACUGAUCUUAUCAAGGAGCGCACUACAGAAACCAAUCAAUGCAAGGCAGUUCACCGCCGCAUCAUAGAUGUUUGUCGCUCAUUUUCUGAUAUCCUCCCAAUCAAAGAAACACAUCUUCCUGAAGGCAGCAGUGAUAGUCACAGUACUCAGCUCACCUUCACAGGAGAUAAAGAGAAUCCUUCUUGUGUUGAUCAUCUUGCUCUUCUCCUCCUAGACAUCCUCCGUGAUGGCCACAUUCAUGCGGCCAAGCAUGGCCAUUCCAUGCAUUAGAUCGCUCCGGACACCAUUAACCACUGUAUAAAACCGCCCAUCAUUGGUGCAGCCUCCAGCUAGCCUGAUGCAUACUUUUGUAUGUUAUAGCUAACACAGACCGCCUCGCCGCACUGCAUCCUUUUGACCACAACAUGGUGCUUUUGUUGUAGAUAUGCUGUGACUCAGCAAGGCCUGCUGCAGCUGAUCUGAAACCCUACUCAUACAGGGCCAGCUUCUUUUGUGUUCUGCAUUGUGAGCACUUAAUCCUCAGCCCAGGCCAAGCAAGGUAAGCUCAUCAGUUCAGGAGCAGAUCCAUGAUUUCUCCGAUACAAAUAGCAACCAGGCUACUAAUCGGCACAUCUCACCCUGUGUGA